GCCGGACUGGCACAAUUGGUCAGCGCGUGAGACUCUUAACCUCAAGGUUGUGGGCUCAAGUCCCACGUUUUCCU